AUGAGAUUUCCCAACUUCGGUUAUAAGAUCCCUCAAAGAUGAUGAGGUUAAUAGGUUCGAGGUGGAAGCAUGGUGACAUGUGGAGCUGACGAAUACUAAUCGAUCGAAGACUUAAUCAAA
rnacentral:rRNA from 1 species